rnacentral:rRNA from 1 species
GAUGAACGCUAGCGGCAGGCUUAAUACAUGCAAGUCGUGGGGCAGCAUGAGUAGCAAUACUUGAUGGCGACCGGCAAACGGGUGAGGAACACGUACACAACCUUCCUUCAAGCGGGGAAUAGCCCAGAGAAAUUUGGAUUAAUACCCCAUAAUAUAUUUGAUAAGGCAUCUUAUUAAUAUUAAAGCUUCGGCACUUGAUGAUGGGUGUGCGGCUGAUUAGAUAGUUGGCGGGGUAACGGCCCACCAAGUCUACGAUCAGUAGCUGAUGUGAGAGCAUGAUCAGCCACACGGGCACUGAGACACGGGCCCGACUCCUACGGGAGGCAGCAGUAAGGAAUAUUGGACAAUGGACGAAGUCUGAUCCAGCCAUGCCGCGUGAAGGAUUAAGGUCCUCUGGAUUGUAAACUUCUUUAUAUGGGACGAAAAAGGGCAUUCUUGUUCACUUGACGGUACCAUAUGAAUAAGCACCGGCUAACUCCGUGCCAG